GCUUCUAUAGUUAAGUGGCAUAAUAAGUCCUUGGUAAGGACUAGUCGCAAGUCCGAUUCUUGCUAGAAGCACCA
rnacentral:tRNA from 1 species